rnacentral:tRNA from 4 species
GGAGUGGUACUCAAGAGGCUGAAGAGGACGGUUUGCUAAAUCGUUAGACUGGGUAACCGGUGCGGAGGUUCGAAUCCUCUCCACUCCGCCA